rnacentral:rRNA from 15 species
GAGAAUGCAGGCAUGAGUAGCGUGUGACGGGUGGGAAUCCCGUCCGCCGAUUAUCCAAGGGUUCCAGGGUCAAGUUUGUCUGCCCUGGGUGAGUCGGGUCCUAAGGCGAGGCCGACAGGCGUAGUCGAUGGGUAACCAGUUGAUAUUCUGGUACCGGCUUGUCACCGUCCGUGUCGAGGUGUGUGAUGCUAAGCAUGUGAGCUUGUCUUGGGAGUGUUUUUGAUGCUUCUGGGG